rnacentral:rRNA from 1 species
UACAGAGGGGGCAAGCGUUGUCCGGAAUUACUGGGCGUAAAGGGCGCGUAGGCGGCCCUCUAAGUCAGCCGUGAAAUCCCCCGGCUUAACCUGGGAACUGCGUCUGAUACUGGGAGGCUUGAGUAUGGGAGAGGGAUGUAGAAUUCCAGGUGUAGCGGUGAAAUGCGCAGAUAUCAGGAGGAACACCGAUGGCGAAGGCAGGUCUCUGGGCAUUAACUGACGCUGAGGAGCGAAAGCAUGGGGAGCGAACAGG